rnacentral:lncRNA from 1 species
UGUUAUUCAAAAAACGCCCCAUACAUGAUCACUCUACCCCAAUGCCUUCUUAUAAUCAAUGCCGGUGGCGGUCAUCGGCCAAGGCCGUGGGGCUUUUGCACAUUGACCCCAUCCACACCAAGCCACCUAUAAAGAAAAACUAAUUCUGCACACAUAACUUACACAGUCUCAUUCCUUCCAUACUUGCUUCUCCACACCACUAUCAACUGGCCUAAACCCUGGAUCACGUACAAAAUUAUCUAAUGCACAGCUGAAAAUCAGAAAUCA